AAGAACUGUAACCACAAAACGAUAAUGGAGAAGACGGCGAUUCUGAAAGAGUGGUUUGACCGGGUUGACUCGGACAAAACCGGAAACAUCACUGCAAUCCAACUUAAGAGUGUGUUCGCCAUUGGAAAUUUAGAAUUCCCUAUCUCCGUUGUGGAGCAGAUGAUCAGAAUGUACGACUUUGACAGGAAUGGAACCAUGAGUUUUGAUGAGUUUGCUGAGCUCAAUAAGUUUCUUCAGAAGAUUCAAAAUGUAUUCUCAGGCUUGGAAAGGGGUCGUGGAUUUCUUAUGCCAGACGAUGUAUAUGAGGCAUUGACUAGAAUUGGGUUUUCCCUUGACUCCCCAGCAUUCUACACAGUCUGUGAGAGUUUUGACAAAGCAAAGAAUGGGAAAUUCAAGCUUGAUGAUUUCAUAUCUCUUUGUAUCUUUGUACAGUCUGCACGGAACCUGUUUAACUCAUUCGAUACAAGUAAACAAGGCAGGAUCAGUCUUGAUUUCAAUCAAUUUUGUUAUUGUACUGCCAAUUGCAGAAUAUGAAAUCAGCAUCUCCUAUGUGAUAUUGGGCUGCAAGCCAGAGUCUGAAUAAUUAUGGAUUGGAAGGAGGAUGGUGUGGUGUUAAUGUGUUAUCAUGUCUGCCUUGAGCUGUGAAUAUUCUUUCUGCUCUAUAGUGCUGAAACCCAUUCUUUUUAUCUAUACUGUCUGUACUAGACUAGAUGUCUGAUACCCACCCUUUAUCGUAAAAGUGUAGUAGUCUUAAUGGUGUAUUGUAACGAUUGAUUUCCUUUGAGUUUGAUAUUUACUUCCCAACAGAUGCAUAUAUCGGCAUAUAUGCAAUAGUAAACAAAUCUAUGAUUUUUGCUCAAAUAAAAAAUUGAAUUGAACCAA